AGCUCCAAUAGCGUAUAUUAAAGUUGUUGCAGUUAAAAGCUCGUAGUCGGAUUUCGGGGCGUCCCCGACCGGUCUGCCGAUGGGUAUGCACUGGUUGGGGGGUCCUUCUUUCCGGAGACCGCGCCUCCUCUUAACUGAGCGGGCGCGGGAGACGGAUCGUUUACUUUGAAAAAUCAGAGUGUUUCAAGCAGGCAGCUCGCUCUUGCAUGGAUUAGCAUGGGAUAAUGAAAUAGGACUCUGGUGCUAUUUUGUUGGUUUCGAACACCGGAGUAAUGAUUAACAGGGACAGUCAGGGGCACUCGUAUUCCGUCGAGAGAGGUGAAAUUCUCAGACCAAUGGAAGACGAACCACUGCGAAAGCAUUUGCCAGGGAUGUUUCACU
rnacentral:rRNA from 1 species